CUUGCUUAAUCUAAUCUAAUGACUAAGAUCAAAACUUAAAUCACUUGAAUCAAAUAACACAAAGAGGGGUAUAAUCCUUCGUUAACAUUAAAUCCCCAUGAAAUUACACCCAAAAGAGGUUUCUGUUUCCAUUUACUCUCACUCUCUUUGCUUGGCUGAACAACUCUUUGGUUUUCCCCAGUCCAUACUUUUUUCCCCUUCAUCUGUUUGCAAUCAUACAACCUCUAGUUAUAUAAAGCUUGGACUUUUCUUCUUUUUUGAAGCAAAAUUAGUUUUCCAUUUACUGAAGCUAGCAUGUUCAAUUGUCGUUUCAAUUGCAUGCUGCAUGCCACAACUUCAGUGAUCUUCAGCAAUAUAAAAUCCUCCGAAAAAUUAACAGAAUCAGGAAAAUAAGGAGCUUACAGAGUACUAAAUGCUCCAACAUUCUCAACCCCAUCUUCCUUCCUAUUUUGCUGUUACAAACCAAUAACAUGUCUUCAAUAUAAAUUACAGUAAUCAUUCACAUAAACACAAUUUUUUACUGCAGAAUUGACAAAUUCUACCUUAUAACGUUGAAUUUAGUAAUUUACAGUCUUCCACAACCCUCAAUCAAUAGAAACAUAGUACACCAAGAGCAUAAUCUUUCU
rnacentral:lncRNA from 1 species